rnacentral:rRNA from 1 species
CUACGGGGGGCAGCAGUGGGGAAUAUUGGACAAUGGGCGCAAGCCUGAUCCAGCAAUGCCGCGUGCAGGACGAAGGCCUUCAGGUUGUAAACUGCUUUUGUACGGAGCGAAACGGUCUGGGUUAAUACCCUGGGCUAAUGACGGUACCGUAAGAAUAAGCACCGGCUAACUACGUGCCAGCAGCCGCGGUAAUA